rnacentral:lncRNA from 1 species
ACAAACCAGAGAUGCAUAAACCAUUCCUCCCCUCUUCAUCUCGCUCAUUCUCUCUUUCAGCAGGGAGUUCCUCUGGGGCCCAGUCCGAAGCACCGGUCUGGCAGCUGCGACGUACCAAUGCUUCCCGCUCCCGUUUAUCAGCCUCUGCUUUUACGGAUCUCUGGGGAUAUAAGAACAAGUUCAGCUCGCAUCAUCCUUCUCCGUUUGGCUGACAUGUAAUUUACAGUUGGAUGCACCAUAGAUAGCUUCGCACACAGAUCGGCAAGCAGAGCUAGACCUGAGGGAUUCGCCCCCAGCUGAAGUCUGCAUCGUCAGGUGCCUCUAGUUCCUUGUGUGCUGUGUUUUAAACAGUGCCAUAUGAAGGGACUUUACACACACAGCGAUUAUGUGCCACCCUUCUCUGGUGGUAACAGCAGUGUUUUUGGUGGUGUUGUAUCAUUGUCAUUAGGUUAUAAUCAUUAUUGGCUAAUUCAGUAGAGUCCUAAACGUUCG